GACGAACGCUGGCGGCGUGCUUAACACAUGCAAGUCGAACGGUGAAGGGGUCUGCUUUUGUGGGCCGUGGAUGAGUGGCGAACGGGUGAGUAACACGUGAGUAACCUGCCCCCUUCUUCUGGAUAACCGCAUGAAAGUGUGGCUAAUACGGGAUAUUCUGGGUCUGUCGCAUGAUGGGUCUGGGAAAGAUUGCGCCUUUGGGUGUUUUUGGUGGGGGAUGGGCUCGCGGCCUAUCAGCUUGUUGGUGGGGUGAUGGCCUACCAAGGCGGUGACGGGUAGCCGGCCUGAGAGGGUGGACGGUCACACUGGGACUGAGACACGGCCCAGACUCCUACGGGAGGCAGCAGUGGGGAAUAGUGCACAAUGGGCGCAAGCCUGAUGCAGCGACGCCGCGUGAGGGAUGGAGGCCUUCGGGUUGUAAACCUCUUUCGCCAGUGAAGCAGGCCUGCUCCUUGUGGGUGGGUUGACGGUAGCUGGAUAAGAAGCGCCGGCUAACUACGUG
rnacentral:rRNA from 1 species